AGGUUGAUCCUGCCGGACCUGACUGCUAUCUGAUUGGUACUAAGCCAUGCGAGUCGUUGUAGCAAUACAAGGCGGACUGCUCAGUAACACGUAGUUAACUUAACCUAUGGAUGGGCAUAACCUCGGGAAACUGAGAAUAAUACCCAAUGGACCACAGUGCCUGGAAUGGCCUGUGGUUGAAAUGAUUUAUCGCCGUAGGAUAGGACUGCGGCCUAUCAGCUUGUUGAUGAGGUAAUGGCCCACCAAGGCUAUAACAGGUACGGGCUCUGAGAGGAGGGGCCCGGAGAUGGGUACUGAGACACGGACCCAGGCCCUAUGGGGCGCAGCAGGCGAGAAACCUUUGCAAUGUGCGAAAGCACGACAAGGUUAAUCCGAGUGUCUCCUGCUAAAGGAGUCUUUUGUCAGUUGUAGAAUCACUGGUGAAUAAGGGGUGGGCAAGUUCUGGUGUCAGCCGCCGCGGUAAAACCAGCACCUCGAGUGGUCAGGAGGUUUAUUGGGCCUAAAGCAUCCGUAGCCGGUUGCAUAAGUUUUCGGUUAACUCUAUGCGCUUAACGUAUAGGCCGCCGAAAAUACUGUGCAGCUAGGGAGUGGGAGAG
rnacentral:rRNA from 1 species